UCGUCAAGUGUGCGACGGUGUCGCUCUCGUCUCCUGGUUCUUGUUGGUAGUCUAGUAGCGUUGAUACUAGUUGCUGGACUUGGACGUUGCCGAGUUCCUGUUCUAAGCGAUUGUGGUUUCAAGCGAGAUGCUACUUCUACUCCCGUUCGGCAUCGGCUCCAUGGUUUUCUCCUAGCUGCUGGUCUUGUCCAUGUUUUUUUAUAGUUGUUAAGCUCCUACAUUUUUGGAUAUGUAGGUAGGUCUUACCGUUGAUGUUGUACCGCUGGAAUUGUGGUCACCCAGCUUGGUUCCCUUUGAGCAAAUAAGCCAAUUUUGGUGAUUCCCCCUCGCCUCGUUUGCGGAUCUUCUUCGUCAAAGUCUUGUUCUAGUGUUACUUUCAUCUUUCGUGUGGCGCUGCGGUGGCCGCUGGAGCUCCUAAUUUGGCGUUGUUGACAUCCGAUUCGUGUUGUGAUUCCGUCCUUGGCUACGCUGAGUUCUCCUCUGCUGUCGACGGCUCUGAAGAAAUCUCAUUGGAGGGGCAUUGUUCUCUCACUGUUCAGCUGUUCCGGCAGUGAUGGCUCGAACUUCAUUCCUCUUCUCUCAUCUGCGGUUGGAGCUGCGGACUAUCUAUCAGCCGGGUUCCUUGUCGUGAUAGGGUUGUCGUCUACCUCGCUCUACUUUGAUCUCGUCUUACAAGUCGGGAGGAUUCCAGACUUGUAGAAGGAAGCAAUCAAGUGGUUGUUCUCUUUUGCCGUUCUAUGGCCAGCUACCACUCCAAUUGGGUUGCAGGUCCCCUCUUUGACAACUCUCAUGCUUUCUGCGCUGAUCUAUUUUUGUUAAUUUGCCGUAUCCUUGAAGUGGUUAUGCCUCCAUAGUGUUGCUUGUGGACAAGGUGAAGAGUGGCAUUCGACUGCUAAGUUCUCUUGUUCAAUCUUUUGUAUACUAGAGGUGUUGGAUUGGCGUCUUUGACAUUCUUUCAAGCGGUGGUUGUUUCUUCCUUGUCAUUGUGGAGUUAGAAGAGCAGCAAGCCCUCAGCCUGGUGUGCAAAUUGUAGAGUUUUUUCCAUUGGUGACUUGCAAAGAGGCGACCACUCUGGACAGCGGCGGUGGCUAUUUCUUCUGUUGAAUAGGAUAUUGCGGGCUUGUGCCGACCUAUUGAUUCUAGUAUUUGACAAUCGUGCGGCCGAAUUGCAACUCUGAAUGCUUUACGGAACCUAGUGCAACUGUUUAAUUGAUGCUAGUUUAAGGAGUCGUGAGAGAAGGUUUGACUUCCUGUAGAUAUAAAAUCCAACUUGAGCAUUUCGUAAGGCACCUCAUUUGAUUAUAACAAAGUGGGAAAAUAGUGCAAAGGAGUGUCGUAGGUGGUCUGGUGGUUCCAAGCUAUACCUCCCAUGUGUUGUCGGAGAUUUAUUGAUCUGUCACAGUAGCAAGGAAGAAGGUAGCUCCUGAAGGAUACAUAAUUCAAAGACGUGUAUUUAUUUUAUGAACUACAUACAAGGGAGAGAAUACUAUCCUUAGUAUUGUUGCACUGAGGACGCCAAGGCAUCUCCAACCAGACCAUCAAGGUUUGGUGUGAAUCUCAAGUAAUAUAUUUCCACGGAUACCACGUAGCAGCGAAGAGGCACUGCUGCAACGGUUCAGGUUACAGGAGAUCAAAUUCGCAAUCCCGCAAGACCGAAGCAGCUGCUUCAGGCUUGUCUUUGACAUACUUCAUAGUCGGUGAGCAGAUGAAGGUGGACGGAAAUGAACCUCUACGUUGGAUGAAGCUAGAUUAGAGAUGAAUGUAGUUAGGUUAGGAUUUGAAGACAAUCAAGUUGGAUGAAUUUUUACCCAAAGAUGAAUUUUGAUUGUGGAUGAAUUAUUAUUUACAGAUGAAAUAUCAUUCAAGGAUGAAAUUUUGAUGAAGAAUGAAUAGUCAUUUG